rnacentral:misc_RNA from 1 species
GGGUUGUUCCUUUUGCUCUCUUUUUUUCCAUGUUCUUCUUUGAGGAAACCAUCCAUUCAUUUUUGAAAUGUCAGGAAAAACGUCUCGUUCCAGUGGUUUUCUGGUGUAUUCCAGUUUGUAGGAUGUAAGCGUGUUGAUUGUAUGGUAUAUUUUAAUGGAUGUUUAUCAGUCUCAUAUGUUUCUUUUGUGGGAUGGUUUCUUCUGUAGUUUUUCCCAUCUGAUACUU